rnacentral:rRNA from 1 species
UACGUAGGGUGCAAGCGUUAAUCGGAAUUAUUGGGCGUAAAGAGCGUGUAGGCGGCUAGGUAGGUCCGUUGUGAAAACUCGAGGCUCAACCUCGAGACGCCGAUGGAAACCAUAUGGCUAGAGUCCGGAAGAGGAGAGUGGAAUUCCUGGUGUAGCGGUGAAAUGCGCAGAUAUCAGGAGGAACACCAAUGGCGAAGGCAGCUCGCUGGGACGUGACUGACGCUGAGACGCGAAAGCGUGGGGAGCAAACAGG